GCAGCCGCCGCGGUAAUGCGAAGGGUGCAAGCGUUAAUCGGAAUUACUGGGCGUAAAGCGUGCGUAGGCGGUGAGUUAAGUCUGCUGUGAAAUCCCCGGGCUCAACCUGGGAAUGGCAGUGGAUACUGGCUCGCUAGAGUGUGUCAGAGGAUGGUGGAAUUCCCGGUGUAGCGGUGAAAUGCGUAGAGAUCGGGAGGAACAUCAGUGGCGAAGGCGGCCAUCUGGGACAACACUGACGCUGAGGCACGAAAGCGUGGGGAGCAAACAGGAUUAGAUACCCGGGUAGUCCCUGUCUCUUAUAC
rnacentral:rRNA from 1 species